rnacentral:rRNA from 1 species
UAGGGAAUCUUCGGCAAUGGGGGAACCCUGACCGAGCAACGCCGCGUGAGUGAAGAAGGUUUUCGGAUCGUAAAGCUCUGUUGUUAAGGAAGAACGAGUGUGAGAAUGGAAAGUUCAUGCUGUGACGGUACUUAACCAGAAAGGGACGGCUAACUACGUGCCAGCAGCCGCGGUAAUACGUAGGUCCCGAGCGUUGUCCGGAUUUAUUGGGCGUAAAGCGAGCGCAGGCGGUUAGAAAAGUCUGAAGUGAAAGGCAGUGGCUCAACCAUUGUAGGCUUUGGAAACUGUUUAACUUGAGUGCAGAAGGGGAGAGUGGAAUUCCAUGUGUAGCGAUGAAAUGCGUAGAUAUAUGGAGGAACACCGGUGGCGAAAGCGGCUCUCUGGUCUGUAACUGACGCUGAGGCUCGAAAGCGUGGGGAGCGAACAGG